rnacentral:misc_RNA from 1 species
GGAGUUUGUUACCUCGAGGGUUGGUCAACUUGGGGAACUUAUGCUUUCUUAAUGCGACUCUUCAGGCUCUUCUCUCUUGCUCUCCUUUUGUUCAUCUCCUGCAAGAACUAAAAACACGUGAUAUAACAGAGGCUGGGUAUCCAACUUUGCAUGCCUUUGUUCAGUUCAUCUCUGACUUCGGCAUAUACAUUGAUUCAAGCAUGAAGAAAAAGGAAACAAUUGUUUCAGAAAUUGGGCUGCCAUUUCGACCUCUAAUGUUUGAAUCUGUCCUAAAGAACUUUACUCCGGAUGUCGCCAAUAGCUUGACAGGCAGACCUAGG